ACUCCUACGGGAGGCAGCAGUGGGGAAUGAUUGCACAAUGGGGGAAACCCUGAUGCAGCCAUGCCGCGUGUGUGAAGAAGGCCUUCGGGUUGUAAAGCACUUUCAGUAGGGAGGAAGGUAGUGUAGUUAACACCUUGCACUAUUUUGACGUUACCUACAGAAGAAGCACCGGCUAACUCCGUGCCAGCAGCCGCGGUAAUACGGAGGGUGCGAGCGUUAAUCGGAAUUAACUGGGCGUAAAGCGCAUGCAGGCGGCCUGUUAAGUCAGAUGUGAAAGCCCGGGGCUUAACCUCGGAAUUGCAUUUGAAACGUGGUAGGCUAGAGUCUUGUAGA
rnacentral:rRNA from 1 species